GAUCCAGGGGCAACUCUGGUGAAAGCGGCGAACGGGUGAGUAACACGUAAACAAUCUGCCUGCAGAUUCGGGAUAACCUUGCCAACGCGGGGCUAAUACCGGAUGUGGUCAAUGAUCCGCAUGGGUUAUUGAUUAAAGAUACGUAAGAGUCGUCUGCAGAUGAGUUUGCGUCCCAUUAGCUAGUUGGGGGGGUAACGGCCCACCAAGGCGAUGAUGGGUAGCCGGCCUGAGAGGGUGAACGGCCACAUUGGGACUGAGAUACGGCCCAGACUCCUACGGGAGGCAGCAGUAGGGAAUUUUGCGCAAUGGGCGGAAGCCUGACGCAGCAACGCCGCGUGAGUGAUGACGGCCUUCGGGUUGUAAAGCUCUGUUGGACGGGAAGAAAAGACGUACGAAGAAUACGUUAUGACGGUACCGUUCGAGGAAGCUCCGGCUAACUACGUGCCAGCAGCCGCGGUAAUACGUAGGGGGCGAGCGUUGUUCGGAAUUACUGGGCGUAAAGGGAGCGUAGGCGGGUUUGUAAGUUAGGGGUUUAAUACAUGGGCUUAACUCAUGUCCGGCCUUUAAUACUGCAAGUCUUGAGUGUGGGAGAGGGCGAUGGAAUUCCAGGUGUAGCGGUGGAAUGCGUAGAUAUCUGGAAGAACACCAACAGCGAAGGCAGUCGCCUGGCCCGAUACUGACGCUGAAGCUCGAAAGUCGGGGGAGCAAACAGGAUUAGAUACCCUGGUAGUCCCGACCGUAAACGAUGAACACUAGUUGCCGGGAGAGUCAAUCCUAUCGGUGACGAGGCUAA
rnacentral:rRNA from 1 species